rnacentral:tRNA from 1 species
GCGAGCGUAGUUCAAUGGUAAAACAUCUCCUU